GACGAACGCUGGCGGCAUGCUUAACACAUGCAAGUCGAACGGGAAGGCCCUGUUUAUGUGGGGUGCUCGAGGUGCGACCGGGUGAGUAACACUUGGGUUAGGUAUCCUUGACUGUGGGGUAUCUUCAUGAAACUGGGGCUAAUACGGGAUAGGAGCUAUUGCUGCUGGGUGGGGGCUGGUAAGUUUCGGCGGUUGGGGAUGGACUCGCGGCGUAUCAGCUUGUUGGGUGGGUAGUGGCUUAGCAAGGCUUUGACGGGUAGCAGGCCUGAGCGGGUCACCGGCCAAAUUAGGACGGAACUACGGCCCAGACUCCUAUGGGAGGCGGCAGAGGGGAAUAUUGUACUAGGAGCGGAGGGCUGGUGCAGCAACGCCGCGUGGGGGAAGACGUCCUGCGGGUUGUGUUGCACUUCCGCUUGUGACGAAGCGUUAAUGACGGUACCGGGUGAAGAAGCACCGGCUAACUACGUG
rnacentral:rRNA from 1 species